rnacentral:rRNA from 1 species
UAUGUGAUCGUCUCUCGCAUAUCAAUAAGCGGAGGAAAAGAAACUAACAAGGAUUCCCCUAGUAACGGCGAGUGAAGCGGGAAGAGCUCAAAUUUGAAAUCUUAAAGGGUUUCCCUUUACGAAUUGUAGUUUAGAGAAGUGUUUUCUGUUGAGGUUUUGGUAAAAGUUCUUUGGAAUAGGACAUCAUAGAGGGUGAGAAUCCCGUAUUUGACCUUUACUUUCAACUUUGUGAUACACUUUCAAAGAGUCGGAUUGUUUGGGAAUGCAGUCCAAAAUGGGUGGUAAAUUUCAUCUAAAGCUAAAUAUUGGCGAGAGACCGAUAGCGAACAAGUACCGUGAGGGAAAGAUGAAAAGAACUUUGAAAAGAGAGUUAAACAGUACGUGAAAUUGUCAAAAGGGAAGCGUUUGACACCAGUGUUGUUUUUCUGAAAAUCAAUUAAAGAACUGUUUAUGCUAAGCUUGUUUAGACUUUAUCAGCUAACUGUUUAGUUUUGAGCUUUUCUUUAAUGCACUUUUCAGUUAACAAGUCAACAUCAAUUUCUUUUGCUGUAAAAAAGCUUGAGGAAGGUGGCUUGAGAUUCGUCUUAAGUGUUUAUAGCCUCUUGCCUAUGCAGUCGGAGAGAUUGAGGUCUGCAGCGUAGAUCCUUCGGGGCUAAAUGCAUUUGUGCUAAGUUAUAGCAUUUUAUAGACAACUUGUUGACUAUGAUUUGUCUUGUAGCUUACUCGCUUAUGUUAUUUUACCUACGCUUAGGAUGUUGAUCUACAGAGCGAGAGUU